UACGUAGGUGGCAAGCGUUGUCCGGAAUUAUUGGGCGUAAAGGAUGCGUAGGCGGUCCUUUAAGUGGGAUGUGAAAUCCCUGGGCUUAACCCAGGAAUAGCAUUCCAAACUGGAGGACUAGAGUGCAGGAGAGGAAAGUGGAAUUCCCAGUGUAGCGGUGAAAUGCGUAGAGAUUGGGAGGAACACCAGUGGCGAAGGCGGCUUUCUGGACUGUAACUGACGCUGAGGCAUGAAAGCGUGGGGAGCAAACAGG
rnacentral:rRNA from 1 species